UAUUGGUCAAUAGCCUAACGGCUGAACCAGCAACUUGGAGGAAUGCACUGGGAAAACCGGUAAAAAGGUGAUGUACCUAGUAGUAUUAGAUACUAGUACCAGGAGGUAUCUCUAGUAUGAUAUGAUAUUAACAAAGUUAAUUAAAAUUCAGAGUAGAUAUUUGAUUAUGACAGUAUUUACUUAUGUCUUGACCAAGUCACGUGCCAGCAGUCGCGGUAAUACGUGGAAGAUUAGUGUUAUUCAUCUUUACCGGGUUUAAAGGGUACCUAGACGAUUAAUAAAACAUUCAAUUGUAAUUAUUAACUAGAGUUUAAUGUAGGAGAGAUUGAGUACGGUGAGUGUAGAGAUAAAAUUCUGUGAUACCACUUAGGGACUGGUAAAGGCGAAGGCAAUUUUCUAUGUAAAAACUGACGUUGA
rnacentral:rRNA from 1 species